AAGAGUACGUGAAACCGUUCAGGGGUAAACCUGUGAAACCCAAAAGAUCGAAUGAGGAGAUUCAUCGUCAGCGUAUUCAGUAUUAAUGCAGGCUAUGAUGUGAUAAUAGAAUCCUCGUGGUCACUAGAUUAUACUUGCUUGUAUUAUUUUUGCUGGGUAUGUCGGCGUGCACUUCUCCUCUAGUAGAACGUCGCAACCCGUUGGAUGUUUAUCUAUGGCCUGAUUGGUAGCCUUUGAUAUUUAUUAUAUUGAAGACCUUUUGGUGUCCUGAUAAACUGUCUGAUGGUAUACAUAUAGUAUUGAGCCGCAAUUAUUUGCGUUAGACUUCUCGCAAGUAAGGUUUCUUUCUGGUAGUGGGAAUUUAACGCCGCCCCUGGACAAAGCCGGCUGUUAGCUGGGAAAGGUCUUUAACUGGUUAAUUUACGGGUUAGCGAUGCUACGGCUUUGGGAAC
rnacentral:rRNA from 1 species